rnacentral:rRNA from 1 species
CCUACGGGGGGCAGCAGUGGGGAAUUUUGGACAAUGGGGGCAACCCUGAUCCAGCCAUUCCGCGUGAGUGAAGAAGGCCUUCGGGUUGUAAAGCUCUUUCGGCAGGAACGAAACGGUCGUCUCUAACAUAGAUGGCUAAUGACGGUACCUGAAGAAGAAGCACCGGCUAACUACGUGCCAGCAGCCGCGGUAAUACGUAGGGUGCGAGCGUUAAUCGGAAUUACUGGGCGUAAAGCGGGAGCAGGCGGUUGAAAUCCCCGGGCUUAACCUGGGAACUGCGUUUGUGACUGCAAGACUAGAGUGCGGCAGAGGGGGGUGGAAUUCCACGUGUAGCAGUGAAAUGCGUAGAGAUGUGGAGGAACACCGAUGGCGAAGGCAGCCCCCUGGGUCGACACUGACGCUCAUGCACGAAAGCGUGGGUAGCAAACAGGAUUAGAUACCCCGGUAGUC